CCUACGGGAGGCAGCAGUGGGGAAUUUUGGACAAUGGGCGCAAGCCUGAUCCAGCCAUGCCGCGUGCAGGAUGAAGGCCUUCGGGUUGUAAACUGCUUUUGUACGGAACGAAAAGACUCUGGUUAAUACCUGGGGUCCAUGACGGUACCGUAAGAAUAAGCACCGGCUAACUACGUGCCAGCAGCCGCGGUAAUACGUAGGGUGCGAGCGUUAAUCGGAAUUACUGGGCGUAAAGCGUGCGCAGGCGGUUAUAUAAGACAGAUGUGAAAUCCCCGGGCUCAACCUGGGAACUGCAUUUGUGACUGUAUAGCUAGAGUACGGCAGAGGGGGAUGGAAUUCCGCGUGUAGCAGUGAAAUGCGUAGAUAUGCGGAGGAACACCGAUGGCGAAGGCAAUCCCCUGGGCCUGUACUGACGCUCAUGCACGAAAGCGUGGGGAGCAAACAGGAUUAGAUACCCUGGUAGUCCACGCCCUAAACGAUGUCAACUGGUUGUUGGGU
rnacentral:rRNA from 1 species